UUUGUGACUGAGUGGCGGACGGGUGAGUAACGCGUGAGGAACCUGCCUUGGAGUGGGGAAUAACACAGUGAAAAUUGUGCUAAUACCGCAUGAUAUAUUGGUGUCGCAUGGCACUGAUAUCAAAGAUUUAUCGCUCUGAGAUGGACUCGCGUCUGAUUAGAUAGUUGGCGGGGUAACGGCCCACCAAGUCGACGAUCAGUAGCCGGACUGAGAGGUUGGCCGGCCACAUUGGGACUGAGACACGGCCCAGACUCC
rnacentral:rRNA from 1 species